rnacentral:rRNA from 1 species
GACGAACGCUGGCGGCAGGCCUAACACAUGCAAGUCGAGCGAGCGGCGGACGGGUGAGUAAUGUAUGGGGACUGCCCGAUAGAGGGGGAUAACUACUGGACACGGUGGCUAAUACCGCAUACUGUCGGAUAACCCAUAUGGGAUUAGCUAGUAGGUAAGGUAAUGGCUUACCUAGGCGACGAUCCCUAGCUGGCCUGCGAGGAUGAUAAGCCACACGGGGAGUCAGGCACGGCCCGGACACCUGCGGAGGCAGCAGGGGGGAAUAUGGGACAAUGGGCGGAAGCCUGAUGCAGCCAUGCCCCGUGGAUGAAGAAGGUCCUAGGGCUGGAAAGUAUUUUCAGUCGGGAGGCGUGACCGACAGAAGACGGACCGGCUAACUCCGUGCCAGCAGCCGCGGUAAUUC